UUGAACGCUGGCGGAAUGCUUUACACAUGCAAGUCGAACGGCAGCACGGACUUCGGUCUGGUGGCGAGUGGCGAACGGGUGAGUAACAUAUCGGAACGUAUCCAAUAAUGGGGGAUAACUAAUCGAAAGGUUGGCUAAUACCGCAUACGCCCUACGGGGGAAAGCUAGGGACCUUCGGGCCUGGCGUUAAUGGAGCGGCCGAUAUCUGAUUAGCUAGUUGGUGGGGUAAAGGCCCACCAAGGCGACGAUCAGUAGCUGGUCUGAGAGGACGACCAGCCACACUGGAACUGAGACACGGUCCAGACUCCUACGGGAGGCAGCAGUGGGGAAUUUUGGACAAUGGGCGCAAGCCUGAUCCAGCCAUUCCGCGUGAGUGAAGAAGGCCUUCGGGUUGUAAAGCUCUUUCGCAAGGGAAGAAAACUUAGUCUCUAACAUAGACUGAGGUUGACGGUACCUUGAUAAGAAGCACCGGCUAACUACGU
rnacentral:rRNA from 1 species